UAUAUUUUAGUAUAUGAUGUAUGAAAGCUUUUGGAGCUUUAGGGAGUAGUUUAAUUCUACUAAAUAUAA
rnacentral:tRNA from 1 species